UACGGGGGGGGCAAGCGUUGUUCGGAAUUACUGGGCGUAAAGGGCGUGUAGGCGGCCAACUAAGUCCGACGUGAAAUCCCCAGGCUUAACCUGGGAACUGCGUCGGAUACUGGAUGGCUUGAAUUCGGGAGAGGGAUGCAGAAUUCCAGGUGUAGCGGUGAAAUGCGUAGAUAUCUGGAGGAAUACCGGUGGCGAAGGCGGCAUCCUGGACCGACAUUGACGCUGAAGCACGAAAGCUAGGGGAGCAAACGGG
rnacentral:rRNA from 1 species